rnacentral:rRNA from 1 species
GACGAACGCUGGCGGCGUGCUUAACACAUGCAAGUCGAACGGAAAGGCCCUGCUUUUGUGGGGUGCUCGAGUGGCGAACGGGUGAGUAACACGAGAGUAACCUGCCCUUGACUUUGGGAUAACUUCAGGAAACUGGGGCUAAUACCGGAUAGGAGCUCCUGCUGGAUGGUGGGGGUUGGAAAGUUUCGGCGGUUGGGGAUGGACUCGCGGCUUAUCAGCUUGUUGGUGGGGUAGUGGCUUACCAAGGCUUUGACGGGUAGCCGGCCUGAGAGGGUGACCGGCCACAUUGGGACUGAGAUACGGCCCAGACUCCUACGGGAGGCAGCAGUGGGGAAUAUUGCACAAUGGGCGGAAGCCUGAUGCAGCAACGCCGCGUGCGGGAUGACGGCCUUCGGGUUGUAAACCGCUUUCGCCUGUGACGAAGCGUGAGUGACGGUAAUGGGUAAAGAAGCACCGGCUAACUACGUG